AUGCAGUCGACGGCAGCGCGGGGCAACCUGGCGGCGAGUGGCGAACGGGUGAGUAAUAUAUCGGAACGUGCCCUGGAGUGGGGGAUAACGCAGCGAAAGUUGCGCUAAUACCGCAUACGAUCUAAGGAUGAAAGCGGGGGAUUCGCAAGAACCUCGUGCUCCUGGAGCGGCUGAUAUCUGAUUAGCUAGUUGGUGGGGUAAAGGCCUACCAAGGCAUCGAUCAGCAGCUGGUCUGAGAGGACGACCAGCCACACUGGAACUGAGACACGGUCCAGACUCCUACGGGAGGCAGCAGUGGGGAAUUUUGGACAAUGGGCGCAAGCCUGAUCCAGCAAUACCGCGUGAGUGAAGAAGGCCUUCGGGUUGUAAAGCUCUUUUGUCAGGGAAGAAACGGUUGAGGCUAAUAUCCUUUACUAAUGACGGUACCUGAAGAAUAAGCACCGGCUAACUACGUGCCAGCAGCCGCGGUAAUACGUAGGGUGCAAGCGUUAAUCGGAAUUACUGGGCGUAAAGCGUGCGCAGGCGGUUUUGUAAGUUUGUCGUGAAAUCCCCGGGCUCAACCUGGGAAUUGCGAUGAAGACUGCAAGGCUAGAAUCUGGCAGAGGGGGGUAGAAUUCCACGUGUAGCAGUGAAAUGCGUAGAGAUGUGGAGGAACACCGAUGGCGAAGGCAGCCCCCUGGGUCAAGAUUGACGCUCAUGCACGAAAGCG
rnacentral:rRNA from 1 species